AGAGGUCACAAAUUUGAGGCCAUAGCAGAAGCACUCAUGGCAUGGCCAUAUCAGAUUCCAACAAAUCUGUGAAUUCUGCU
rnacentral:ribozyme from 1 species